GAACGCUGGCGGCAGGCCUAACACAUGCAAGUCGAGCGGCAGCGGGAAAGUAGCUUGCUACUUUUGCCGGCGAGCGGCGGACGGGUGAGUAAUGCCUGGGGAUCUGCCCAGUCGAGGGGGAUAACUACUGGAAACGGUAGCUAAUACCGCAUACGCCCUACGGGGGAAAGCAGGGGACCUUCGGGCCUUGCGCGAUUGGAUGAACCCAGGUGGGAUUAGCUAGUUGGUGAGGUAAUGGCUCACCAAGGCGACGAUCCCUAGCUGGUCUGAGAGGAUGAUCAGCCACACUGGAACUGAGACACGGUCCAGACUCCUACGGGAGGCAGCAGUGGGGAAUAUUGCACAAUGGGGGAAACCCUGAUGCAGCCAUGCCGCGUGUGUGAAGAAGGCCUUCGGGUUGUAAAGCACUUUCAGCGAGGAGGAAAGGUUGGUAGCUAAUAACUGCCAGCUGUGACGUUACUCGCAGAAGAAGCACCGGCUAACUCCGU
rnacentral:rRNA from 1 species